GAUAAAAACAAUGCUUAUGUUUUAAAUGUUUUUAUUAUAAAAAGAACUGACAAAAAUAAACACAUUUCUCUAAAAUAAGCUCCAUCAACAUGCAAUAAAAUGUUAUUCUAUAAAAUAAAUUACACACCUAUCAAUUUAGAAGAACCCAAAACCAGCAUGCUAACCAAGCAAACCAAAAGUAGUGGUCCGGCACUAGACUGACAUCAACAUUCAACAAAGUUAAAAUACUAGCAGAUUCUAACAAAUAGAAACGAAGGAGGAGGUUAGGGCAAAAUACUCUUCAGAUUUACGAGAACUUUUUUAUAAUUGACACUAAAAAGGCCCAACAACAUACCGGCCAUUUCUUGAAUCGUCCAGAAUUAAAUAAUUAAAUAAUAAGUAAAAUGUUAAAAAUCCAGUUCAAGUGUACUUGCAUCUCGAACUCCUCAGAGAACCGACUUAAUUUUUAAGUUAGUUCGGUUAAACACAUGCAAACUACUUAAAUAAAUAAUAUCCUAUAUUGGAAGUAUUGCCUCAAGAAAAGUACUUUUGCCAAAACCUUUUUAAACCCCAAAAAUAUUCAUAUCUUAAAAUGCCAAAAAAUGGUACCCUAAUCAACAUGUGCCGGGUUUGAGAAUAGACAUAAAUACAAACUCUAAACCCCAUAUUGAUUCAUAAAAUAUAAAUAUCAGUUAGUAUAAUAGACAUAAAUACAAGCUCUAAACUCCAUAUUGAUUCAUAAAAUAUAAAUAUCAGUUAGUUUAAUCCCUUACUUCAUAGUAUUAUCAUUUUGGCCCUUAACUUUACAAAAUAUCAUUCCCUAUUAAUCUUUAACACAAUUAUUGAAAAACUACAGUUAGAAAAGACUAAAAUAUUUUAUAAAAUUAAAGACAAAAUAUACAAGUUUUUUGUGAGUAAACAAGAGUAUACCCCCAUUUUUAUGAUAUUUUGGAAGGAAUAGGCAAAAAAUAUAAUGAAUAGCUCUAAUAAUUAUCAACAAAUUAGUAGAACAAUAUAGCUCCAAGUUCCAACCUCUGGCUAGGCCCCAGCAGAGUAAUGGACAAGAAUGCAGCGUUUCUGACGCCAAUUGCACGUCUAAUAUUUAAAUUCUUCAGGCUCUGCAAAACUAGAAGAUUCAUCAGUAACUAUUUAUAUAUAACAAAUUUUUCAUGUCUAGUAAAGUUUUUUUUUUUCUUUUCAUAAAAGGAAAAGACAAUGACAAUGGACACUUUACAACCAACCACCUUUUGCUUCUCAAGCAUGUUCUUAAUUUCUUAUAUUCAAAAUAUAUAUAAUGCUAUGCUUUUUUGUUAUUAUUUGUUAUCAACUGAGUCCAGGGUUGCUUCUCAAUCUCAUCAACAUCUUUUAUGAAGAUUGUUCUGGCAACAACACGUACCUGAUAUUGACACAACACAAUGACAUGUGUUCCAAUCACCGGUAAUAUGACCCUAUAUGCUGGUAUUUGAGCUCCUCCAGUAUAUCCAACUCAGAACGCAACGUUUGUGUUUAAACUGACCAAGGUUUGCUUUUGUUUGUGUUUUGGAAUAAAGUGAUCCAACACACACUACACUGCAAUCAAUGCAGUGUAUGUAGUAUAUUUUCUGAGGCAUCUAUGACAGAGUUUAGAGCCAGCUAGCCACCAAAUAUGAAUAUCAAUGAAUCAAAUAAUGAAUACCUCAGUGUCCCAAAACCCUUUGUGCUGUAUUCCAUCAACAUCAAUGAUGCGCAUUUGAAAAUGUUUAUGAAAAGUUGUUUAAAGAGAAAUAAUCCUUCUACAACAAAUGUAGAACAAUGCAUUUAUAAUUUAUAAUUUCAUACAACUAGAAAAAGUAAAGAGAGAAAAUUUGAAGACUUAAUAAAUGAUAUAAUAAAAAACGAAAAAAUAACACUAUACAAAUUGUUGUAUCUUUUUAAUAAAAUCUUAGUGUGUAACUAGUGUAUGCCCUACUAGGGAAAAAAAUAACAUCACUAUCUAAUUUCAAAUAAUCAUAUAUAAUAAACUUAUUAACUUAAAAAUAAUUACUUUUAA
rnacentral:lncRNA from 1 species